rnacentral:rRNA from 1 species
GACGAAGGUGGCGAGCGUUACUCGGAAUUACUAGGCGUAAAGCGUGGGUAGGUGGUUCGGUAAGUCUGUUGUGAAAGCUCCUGGCUUAACCGGGAGAGGCCAAUGGAUACUACCGGACUUGAAUGCAGGAGAGGUCACUAGAAUUCCCGGUGUAGCGGUGAAAUGCGUAGAGAUCGGGAGGAACACCGAUGGCGAAAGCGGAUCUCUGGGCCUUACCUGACGCUGAGGCGCGAAAGCUAGGGGAGCAAACAGG